rnacentral:rRNA from 1 species
AGGGAAUCUUCGGCAAUGGACGGAAGUCUGACCGAGCAACGCCGCGUGAGUGAAGAAGGUUUUCGGAUCGUAAAGCUCUGUUGUAAGAGAAGAACGAGUGUGAGAGUGGAAAGUUCACACUGUGACGGUAUCUUACCAGAAAGGGACGGCUAACUACGUGCCAGCAGCCGCGGUAAUACGUAGGUCCCGAGCGUUGUCCGGAUUUAUUGGGCGUAAAGCGAGCGCAGGCGGUUAGAUAAGUCUGAAGUUAAAGGCUGUGGCUUAACCAUAGUAGGCUUUGGAAACUGUUUAACUUGAGUGCAAGAGGGGAGAGUGGAACUCCAUGUGUAGCGGUGAAAUGCGUAGAUAUAUGGAGGAACACCGGUGGCGAAAGCGGCUCUCUGGCUUGUAACUGACGCUGAGGCUCGAAAGCGUGGGGAGCAAACAGGAUUAGAUACCCUGGUAGUCCACGCCGUAAACGAUGAGUGCUAGGUGUUAGACCCUUUCCGGGGUUUAGUGCCGUAGCUAACGCAUUAAGCACUCCGCCUGGGGAGUACGACCGCAAGGUUG